rnacentral:rRNA from 2 species
GAAGAAUUCAGAGAUGGAUUUGUGCCUUCGGGAACCGUGAGACAGGUGCUGCAUGGCUGUCGUCAGCUCGUGUUGUGAAAUGUUGGGUUAAGUCCCGCAACGAGCGCAACCCUUAUCCUUUGUUGCCAGCGAUUAGGUCGGGAACUCAAAGGAGACUGCCAGUGAUAAACUGGAGGAAGGUGGGGAUGACGUCAAGUCAUCAUGGCCCUUACGACCAGGGCUACACACGUGCUACAAUGGCGCAUACAAAGAGAAGCGACCUCGCGAGAGCAAGCGGACCUCAUAAAGUGCGUCGUAGUCCGGAUUGGAGUCUGCAACUCGACUCCAUGAAGUCGGAAUCGCUAGUAAUCGUGGAUCAGAAUGCCACGGUGAAUACGUUCCCGGGCCUUGUACACACCGCCCGUCACACCAUGGGAGUGGGUUGCAAAAGAAGUAGGUAGCUUAACCUUCGGGAGGGCGCUUACCACUUUGUGAUUCAUGACUGGGGUGAAGUCGUAACAAGGUAACCGUAGGGGAACCUGC